GAUGAACGCUGGCGGCGUGCCUAACACAUGCAAGUCGUACGGUCCCGGAGGCAGAAAGUAACAUUUCAGCCUUUGGGAUAGUGGCGGACGGGUGAGUAACGCGUGGGCAACCUGCCUUUCACUGGGGGAUAACACAGGGAAACCUGUGCUAAUACCGCAUGACAUAUCGACGGGGCAUCCUGUUGAUAUCAAAGGAGCAAUCCGGUGGAAGAUGGGCCCGCGUCCAAUUAGCUAGUUGGUGGUGUAACGGACCACCAAGGCGACGAUUGGUAGCCGAACUGAGAGGUUGAUCGGCCACAUUGGGACUGAGACACGGCCCAGACUCCUACGGGAGGCAGCAGUGGGGAAUAUUGCGCAAUGGGGGAAACCCUGACGCAGCAACGCCGCGUGAAGGAAGAAGGUCUUCGGAUUGUAAACUUCUUUGAUGAGGGACGAAGGAAGUGACGGUACCUCAGGAACAAGCCACGGCUAACUACGUG
rnacentral:rRNA from 2 species